rnacentral:tRNA from 1 species
AGAGAUUUAAGUUAAUUAAAACUAAUAGCCUUCAAAGCCUUAAUUGGUACCAAACCAAUCUCUACCA